GCGCGAUCUUGGCUCACUGCAAGCUCCGCCUCCCGGAUUCAUGCUAUUCUCCUGCCUCACCGUCCUGAGUAGCUGGGACUACAGGCGCUCACCAACUUACCCAGUCUCAGGUAUUCCUUUAUAGCAGUGCAAAAUGGACAAACACAGAACUACAUCAGGAGAGCGGCGGACGACAAUGCAAUUGACUCGAUGACAGGCUGCAGCUGCAUUGCACCAGGCUGUGCAGACUCAUUUUUGGGGGCAGCUGUGUCUUUGUAUGUAGUUCUUGACGUCCUGUCACACGCACAGGCUGUUCUGUCACACACACAGGCUGUUGUCACCAGCUCCCUGUGCAUCCAGCGCAUCACGGGAAGCUGAGUCACCCAAGCUACCGUCCAUGUCGGCUGACCCAUGAGAAGCUGUGGAGCGUCUCACUCCCCAGGCCCUUUGGACAAAUCCUCAGCCUGGCCAGCUCACAGGAGUGAAGGGAGAUGGGAACGGGUGUAAUCAGAGUGGAAGAAUCCCCUUCCCCCACCAGGGAGGUGUGAAGCACCUCUGGCAUCUGGGCAGGACCCCCGCCUCUGCACACCAGAUUCCGGUGGUGCCCCCGCCCAGCUGUGACCGCCAACACGGUCCCGGACAUUGCCGAGUGGGCCCCAGGGGCAGAAGUACCCCUGGUUGAGAGCAACUGCCCUGACGAAGGAGGUGCGAGCCGGGGAACAGAGGACCAGACAAAAGUGAGUGCUGUUUGGAACUCAGAGGGCCUGGAGAAGGGCUGAAGACAGGGCCUGAAGAAGGCGUUCAGGAACCCCGGGGCCUCCUCUGGGGCAUCCUGAGUGCAGGCACUAGGCCACCUAAUGAACCCUUAGCUUCCCAGGUAUCCGGGGCCAGAAAGGCUGAGAGCAUUUCCGCACUGCAAAGGGUUGCUCCCAUUGUGAGUUAGUGAACAACUUUCUCAUUUAUGUGUCAGUCUCCUGUGAGUCUGGCUAAUGGGGAGUGGUCUUGUGGAGACCCAUCACAGGCAGCGACCAGCCAGGGUCCUGUGGUCCUGGGAAGCAGCACCUGCACUGUUCCCUGGGAGGAAGCCGGUAGCCUUCGUGGGGUCGCUGACUGCAUCCCCAGAGUGCAGAGAGCUCAAUGAAGACAGCACUCGAGUCAGAAAUCAAUGUUUACUGCAGAGAACACAGAAGCCAGCAAGCAGUAGGCAAGGGAGGCGUCGCA
rnacentral:lncRNA from 1 species